AUAAGCAACGUGCCCUGAAGACUGGGAUAGUCAGAGGAAACUCUGGGUAAUACCGGAUGUGGCCGUUUCGAGACAUCUCGAGACGAUUAAAUGGUUUUUCGCUUCAGGAGCGGCUUAUGGCCUAUCAGGUAGUUGGUGGGGUAACGGCCUACCAAGCCGACGACGGGUAGCGGGUCUGAGAGGAUGAUCCGCUCGAGUGGGACUGAGACACGGCC
rnacentral:rRNA from 1 species